rnacentral:rRNA from 1 species
UACGUAGGGUGCGAGCGUUUAAUCGGAAUUACUGGGCGUAAAGCGUGCGCAGGCGGUUAUGUAAGACAGAUGUGAAAUGCCCGGGCUUAACCUGGGAACUGCAUUUGUGACUGCAUGGCUAGAGUGUGUCAGAGGGGGGUAGAAUUCCACGUGUAGCAGUGAAAUGCGUAGAUAUGUGGAGGAAUACCGAUGGCGAAGGCAGCCCCCUGGGAUAACACUGACGCUCAUGCACGAAAGCGUGGGGAGCAAACGGG